UAUUGGACAAUGGGGGUAACCCUGAUUCAGCCAUCCCGCGUGUGUGAAGAAGGCCUUUUGGAUGUAAAGCACUUUAAGCAGUGAAGAAGACUCUAUGGUUAAUACCCAUAGACGAUGAUAUUAGCUACAGAAUAAGCACCGGCUAACUCUCUGCCAGCAGCCGCGGUAAUACAGAGGGUGCAAGCGUUAAUCGGAAUUACUGGGCGUAAAGCGAGCGUAGGUGGCUUAAUAAGUCAGAUGUGAAAUCCCCGGGCUUAACCUGGGAACUGCAUCUGAUACUGUUGGGCUAGAGUAGGUGAGAGGGAGGUAGAAUUUCAGGUGUAGCGGUGAAAUGCGUAGAGAUCUGAAGGAAUACCGAUGGCGAAGGCAGCCUCCUGGCAUCAUACUGACACUGAGGUUCGAAAGCGUGGGUAGCAAACAG
rnacentral:rRNA from 1 species